rnacentral:rRNA from 1 species
AAAUUAUCCUCAUAAGUUUGACGACAAGAGGAACCCUGUACACCAUUUAUAAUUUUAUGGGGGAAGGGUGGCACAAAAUCGGAGGCCCCGACUGUUUACUAAAAACACAAUUCAGAGCAAUGAUGAAAAAUCAUAGUAUUCUGGAUGAAAUUUGCCCAAUGCCAUUAACAUAAAAGAGGUUAUAGGUAACUGUAACUGAUUGAAAGUCUGGUUAAUAGCGGUCUUAACUAUGAGGAUCCAAAGGUAGCAAAAUAAAUUGGCCAUUAAAUGUGGUCUGGUAUCAAUAGUGUAACGAUGGUCUCACUGUCUCUACAACUUGCUCAGUGAAAUUGAAUUACCCGUGCAGAUGCGGGUUGCCUCCAGGUGGACGGGAAGACCCUAUGCAGCUUUUU